rnacentral:piRNA from 1 species
CACCAACUAUCAUCUACCCACUCACAU